AAACAUACAAGUUCUUCAACUUCAUUAACAUGUCAUCAGAUAAGUCACCCUUUACAAACAAUGUAUGAAGCGAAGCUGAUAGACUCUCCAAAAGUUUUUCUCUGUCUUCUGCACCAACAAAUGAGUCUAUUGUAAGGUAACGAAUCUGAUUAUCGUUGUCUACUGUAUAUGUAUCCCCAUUAUUAAUGACUUUGGUAGACUUUGACAUUGACUCUGCAAGGUCAUGCACCAAAUCAUGCAUCUUAUAAUAUGUUUUCCAAUCAUAUCUUAUUUCUUCAAACAAUGAACUCUGCAAUAAAAUUCUCAGAUAAUUCAUUCCAAUUUCCUCCAUCAUCAUUUGGCUGUUGACAUCUGCUUGGAGGAAACCUUCUGCCAUCCAAAGUUCGAUAAGCAUAUUCCUUUCUAUCUCACUAUCCUUAGGAAAUAUAGACCAAUAUGCAAAACAUUUCUUAAUGUAUGGAGAUGGCAAAUUAUCAAAACUCAACUUAAGUAUUUGCAUGACACGAUCUUCAUCUCCACUAAAACUCAAAAGCCUAUUCUCCAAAAUUGAUUGCCACUCCUCUUUUCUCUUUAAACGUAAUAGACCUCCGAUUACACUUGCAGCCAAUGGUAGACCAUCACAUCUUUUGAUUACUCUCUCUUUAAUUGCUUUUAGUUCGUAAGGUACUUCUCCCCCUCCAACUACUUUUUCUUUUAGGAUAGACCAGCAAAGAUCAUCAGGUAGCCUUCCUAAGGCAUAGGCUUCAUCAUCCAUCAUCAAAGCUCCAGACACAAUACCUGCCACCUGACCACUACGAGUAGUGACAAGACACCAGCUUCCAUCAGUUGGAUUGAGUCCUUUCAAGGUGGUGAAAAGGUCAUCCCACAAUGCAUGAUUAUCAUCCCACACAUCAUCAAGAACUAGGAGAUAUCUUUUUCCCCCAAGUUGAUUCUGAAUUUUUUCAACGAUGACUUCCCUAACAUCUACUUCAACCUUUUCUUUUGUCAAAUGCACUAAUAUGAGUUUGAAAAGCUCCUCUAUUGGAACUUUUUUUGAUGCACAAACCCAAACCUUUUUGUCGAAGUGCCCAUCAAUUUGCUGAUUGUUGUAUAUCGAUUUAGCCAAAGUUGUUUUGCCUAGACCUCCCAUACCAAUUAUGGGAAGAACAGAAACAACCUUCUCAGACGGGCUCAACAGCAUCUUCACUAUCUUUGAUUCAUCAUCGGCUCUUCCAACCAUUGGAGCAACAACUGAGUCGGUCUGCCGAUUUCUUGUGUCUCCAGCAGCAGGAGCAGCAGGGAGGGUAGCUGUCAAGACUGGCC
rnacentral:lncRNA from 1 species